rnacentral:tRNA from 1 species
GGUUCCAUAGUGUAGUGGUUAAGACGUUUGCUUUAUAUGCAUAAGGUCCUGGGUUCACGCCCCAGUGGAGCCA